rnacentral:rRNA from 1 species
AACGAACGCUGGCGGCAGGCUUAACACAUGCAAGUCGAGCGCCUCGCAAGGGGAGCGGCAGACGGGUGAGUAACGCGUGGGAAUCUACCCAUCUCUACGGAAUAACGCAUGGAAACGUGUGCUAAUACCGUAUACGUCCUUCGGGAGAAAGAUUUAUCGGAGAUGGAUGAGCCCGCGUUGGAUUAGCUAGUUGGUGGGGUAAAGGCCUACCAAGGCGACGAUCCAUAGCUGGUCUGAGAGGAUGAUCAGCCACACUGGGACUGAGACACGGCCCAGACUCCUACGGGAGGCAGCAGUGGGGAAUAUUUGACAAUGGGCGCAAGCCUGAUCCAGCCAUGCCGCGUGAGUGAUGAAGGCCCUAGGGUUGUAAAGCUCUUUCACCGGUGAAGAUAAUGACGGUAACCGGAGAAGAAGCCCCGGCUAACUUCGUGCCAGCCGCCGCAGUAAGAC